GCUGGCCAGUGGCAAAGCAGGAAGCUAGUCAGAAAAUAUCAUGGAGGAAAGGGAAAUGCUCCAGAAAUUCCGAUUAUUCACUCAUUAUCGCAACCAUGAAAAUGGGCCACUUUCUGUGUCAGUGUGUCAGCAGGGAGAUAGGCAUGAGAAGCUGCCAGGGACAUCUGUGCUCCUUGCUGUGUGUUAGGAGAGACUCUUCCACCUCUCUGGGAGAGGCUGUUAAAUUUUUUCCAAGUUUGAUUAAUUCCCUGGGAUUUCACAGAGGCCGCGUGCUGCUCCACAGACUCUUUGCUGAUCUUCCCCUUUCUAACUCCGCCCAAGGUCCAGAGGGGAAAUACUGUCUGGUGCCUGUACCCGGGCAUGAGUUAUGGAGGAGCCACCUGGUGAUGAGCCUUACCCCAGCUUAUGCCACAAACUGUCCUGAGCAGAACCUGGAGUGACUGGGGACAAGCCCAGCCCGCUCCUGCCUUUCUGUCUGCUGUUGGGGAAUGAGCACAUGGCUGCUCCCUCCUUGUUAGAACCCUGAGGGAACUACUGUCUGAGACCAUCCCAAGGUUUUGAAACUGCAGGCUGUCAUCAGCGUUGGAUUUCUCACAGAUUUCUUGAUGCUGAGAACAGUGUAAAGCCAAUCUGGUUUUGUGCCUCACUGCCAUAGCGUUUUGGAUUGCUGUUUGGAGGCUGCGUACCCUCGCCAGUAGUUACUCAUCUUUAUUAACUUGCAGAUUAAAUUCCUGAAGGGUUUUGUAGUGAUGAGUUUCUCAGUAUUAAGAGCUGAUGGCUGUGAAUUACAGACUUGCUUUUUCAGUUAAGUAAGUACUUGGAAAGUAUUCUUGUCCAUGCUAGCCUUGUCACCAGAAAUCCCUGGUCAGCGGUUUGGAAACCCCUGGUCUAGGCUAGUACAAUUAAAAAAAAAAACCCGACAUGGCACUGCAGGAGGAGGAACCACAAGGUGGCAAUGUCUGUCUGUGCUUCCACUGGCAAAAGAAACCUCUGGCAAAAAAUAUCUCAGACAGCAGCCGCGUAAAGCUGCAAAGACGUUGGUCGUGCCUUGUCUUUUCAGAGUCGUUCAUUUUGAUGCUGGGUUUUCUCUUCUGGAUGCUUUUCCCUUCAGGAUGAAGCUCUCGGGCUUGAAGAGGUGGAACCGAAGGCUGCUCUGUGCUGCCUUUUCCAUCCUUUGGCCCAAAAUGGGCAUCAGAUGUUGCUUGUCAGAUUGCUGACUACCACACUGCCUGCGUGCUGGCUGGCAAAGCUACGGAGUGCUCGGAGAGAAGGUUUCCUGCUCUGCUGGAGGCACUCCCUGUGGCAGCUGGUUCAGAGUAUUGUGAACCUCACGUGAUAUUAAUGUGCAAUUCAACAGGACUGUCAGGAUCUAGCGAUGAGAAGCCUUCGUGCAAUGGGAUACCUCAACGGGAGCAAAAUAACCUGGGUGUGAGGACUAGGCAGUGACCUGCAGGUUGAGUGUGACCUGUGGGCUUGAGGGGACCGCAAACACCAGAGUGAGAAUGGCCUGGAGCUAUCUCAAAAAAAUGUGGCCAGAGGGGGGAAAAACGCAGGGGAGAAAUAAUGGGGUGGAGCUGCCCUGGUCCAGCAGUAUCAACCACCAUCUGUUGUGAGGAGCUCCAUCUCGGUCAGGACAUUGUUGUGCUCUCGCCAGACGUUAGCUUCCAUGUGCUACAUGUAAAAGUAAACUGGUGCGAAAGCUGUGGUCUGAUGUGCUUUCAGGAGGAUUUGCCCUGCAGAAGUGACGACGUGCUAGCCAGCCUCUCGCUGAGAGGAUGCACUCCAGAAGUUGCAGGUGUGUGGCUGGAGCGUGUUCAAUGAUUCAAGAUAGGAAAUAUCUUCCAAGGCUCCAAAUAAGACAAAACAAACUGAGCUUUAGCACAUACUCAAUUGAUUGAGUCUCUGGCAAAGUAUGAUGUGAAUUCACGAGGCUCUCACUGAAGCCUGUCCCGUCUGUAUCCUGCCUGAAAGCAGGAAGAAAUCUAGCAAGCAUAAGGCUGGCUUCUCCUGGAACAUGUGUGCAACAUGAUUGUCACUAAUACUCUGUAGCCAGCUGAGAGAAGAUACUUUCCCCAAGUUUCCGAAGCUCCCCCAGCCUUCUGGAUGAUGACGUGUUAAGCGCUUGGUUUGUGAUAAUCAAUUUUCUCCUGAAAUGAUACCAAAAGUCUGCUGUUUUGAUUUAAACCGUUUUCCGAGGAUUUGGGUUAAUAACAAGAGACAGUCUACUCCAAGAGAAUCUAACUUGAGGAAGCCAUGAAAUUUAAUUCAUUUCUGCAACUUAAAUAUAUAAUCAGUGACAUAUGGUAAUAGUAAAUACAGGGGGAAUUGUCAUUGUUUAAGUCAAAUUUCUGCAUUCAGUCAAAACCCAAUAGCUGUAACAUCAAACUGUAGUUUCCAUUGUACAGGAAAUAAAGCAUCAUUUUUUUCAAAGAAAAUAGACAUGCAAUUGCAUGCCUGUUACGUUGCUUAUACAGCUUUUUAUUUUUAGCUUUCUCCAUGUUGCUGUUACUAAAGAGCUAACAGAAGGGAAUCUGCGGAGGGAGAAGAAACGAGGCAACACCCAGAUCCUGGAUGGUGUGAAACGAGGAUAAUUCUACACGAUUCUCUGCUCAUCAGGGUUGGGCUUGGUUUGAGAAAAAAUGUUUCUGAGGCUGUUGUGGUCUUUGGAGCGCUGCAGAGCUCCAGGUCUCGCUGUCGUGUUUGUCCUCUGUAUCUUUUUGACUGUGACAAAUUGCUGCCACAUUUGGCUCUACUCAAAAUACGAAAGACAAAAGCUAAAUCAGACCCAGCCAUUGAUGAGUACUGGGAAGUUCAUGCAUCUGAAGAGUAUUUUGUGUCAAAGAGUGUGUUAUUCGCACUCAGUUAUUGUUUGGAGGUCUCUCUGCUUGCUGAAGAGACACUUGGCAAAGGAGAUUUCCGUCUGCUGGGACAGCACAUGGUUUGACCAGCCUCCAGAGCCAUUCUCACACCCUGAAGGAAAUCGUGCAUUUCAGUUUUUUUA